CUGGGUGUAGCGCAGAUGGUAGCGUGCAUGAAUGGGGUUCAUGAGGUCGCAAGUUCAAGUCUUGUCACCCAGACCA
rnacentral:tRNA from 1 species